AUUGAACGCUGGCGGCGUGCCUAACACAUGCAAGUCGAGCGUAUAUCGGACGGGUGAGUAGUUUCUUGGAAACUGCCCGAUUAAGGGGGAUUACUACUGGAAACGGUAGCUAAUACCGCAUACCAUCGGAUGUGCACACAUGGGCUUAGCGAGUGGGUGGGGUAACGGCUCACCUAGGCGACGAUCCCUAGCUGAUCUGAGAGGAUGACCAGCCACACUGGGACUGAGACACGGUCCAGACUCCUACGGGAGGCAGCAGUGGGGAAUCUUCCACAAUGGGCGAAAGCCUGAUGGAGCAACGCCGCGUGAGUGAAGAAGGCCUUCGGGUUGUAAAGCACUGUCGGCGGGGAAGCGGUAAUCGAAGAGGAAGCAACGGCUAACUCCGUGCCAGCAGCCGCGGUAAUUC
rnacentral:rRNA from 1 species